rnacentral:rRNA from 1 species
GAGUUUGAUCCUGGCUCAGAACGAACGCUGGCGGCAGGCUUAACACAUGCAAGUCGAACGCGUGUAGCAAUACACGAGUGGCGCACGGGUGAGUAACACGUGGAUAUCUGCCUUUUGGUUCGGAAUAACCCUGGGAAACUAGGGCUAAUACCGAAUGGUUCCUACGGGAUAAAGAUUUAUCGCCAGAAGAUGAGUCCGCGUCCGAUUAGCUAGUUGGCGGGGUAAUGGCCCACCAAGGCGACGAUCGGUAGCUGGUCUGAGAGGACGAUCAGCCACACUGGGACUGAGACACGGCCCAGACUCCUACGGGAGGCAGCAGUGGGGAAUAUUGGACAAUGGGGGCAACCCUGAUCCAGCCAUGCCGCGUGAGUGAUGAAGGCCUUCGGGUUGUAAAGCUCUUUUGGUCGGGGACGGAUGAUGACGGUACCCG